CCGGAUACUCCUGCUCUUUCUCCUCGGCAUUCUCAUCGAUAUACAGCUCGCCGCCGGGCACACUGUCGGUCUCAGGACAGUCCUGCACCUCGUUCUUAACUUCGGUUUCUGACAAUGUGAAAAUGAGCGGAUGAGUAGCUUGUAUCGUCGUUAAUAAUGCACCUUUUACGUAGUUUUAACGGCAUUCGUUAAUUCAAACCUUAUCGACGGUGCAUCAAGAGCUGUGUAAUAAUAUCUGAGCAAAUACAUCUGAUCAUCGAGCGGCGCAUCUACCUCUACGCCAAUGCCAGUUAGAUCCUCUAUCUACCAUUGUUUGCGGCGCGAGGAUGCUGUACCGAGGCUUCUGUCGAGGAAGACACGUUGCCAGCAUUGUCUAAAACCCCUGCUGGUUUUGUCGGAUCAUUGUCUUCGGUUAACAUAUCACUCUAUCUGCAACGAUAUAAAUCACCAAUUCACCUGCGCCUCCGCGCUCAUAGAAGCAUCAUAGAAUAGAGGAACGUAAAGCAAAGACAUAAAGAAAAAGUAGAAACUCGCAAUUGAAAAAGGACCGACGUCUUUCGGGCGAUCGAAGAGCCUGCAGACAAAAGCAAACGGCGAAUUCGUGAGCCGGCGAUUUCGCGAGCGGAAGAAGGCUGCACCUGCGAGGCGAGGGUCGCUCGCGUGUGAACUUCAUUAUUGUCUGCCAAUUGCGUGUCGAAGAGGUGGAGUGACUGGCUGGGUAGGCGUACACCGCGAAGAACCGAAACCAGCCAAUGGAGCCUCCUUUCACUACGCUUUACAUUAUUGUAAGAUGCCACGUGAGAACUAUAGAGGCAUCUUGCUAAAUCAGGAGAAAAAGAGUCUCAGUAUGCCCGUUAGAUAUAUGUAAAUAUUUAUAUGGGAUAGAAACCAGACAACGAGCGAGAGUAGAAGAGGACCAGUUCUGGUAAUUAAAUCCUGCACGGGAAAAGCAGUACGGUGCGCCCCAACGAUCGGCACCCUCCAAUCGAAGACCGCGAAACAAGUCUUUGUAUUCGAGCUGAAGUAAUCAUUACUGAACACGACUGCGGAGAAAUGCGUUGCCUGAGCACUACAUCUUCCCCAGCGCAUCUUAUCACGGAAUUUACGUCUUCGACUAGUUAAGUAAUUUUAGGACAAGUCAACACUUGCCGCGCGGAGCGCGAAGACGUGCAAUCAUUAAAGUUACCGAUAGCUUAUGAUGAGUUAAAGCGAUUUCGCGGGGACAUGACCGUUCAAAAAUAAAAGGUUAUUCAAGGUAUGUAAAUGUAGCACAUUCACGAGUUUUUUUUAACGCUAUAAGGAAACUAACUCGAGGCCAUGACGUGUAUCGUGCAAAAUGAAAACGCGUAAAUUUGACCGUUCGUUUACGCACCAUCUACAUCACGUGCAAUUUCGUCGUAAUUUUCCUGGCCCAGAUAGACUUUCGAUUGAUUAUCAUGACGUGAGACACGAUCAGUGAUGGGAAUUUUGCAAUUCCUGUAAUUACAUGUACGAAGCAAACAUCUUAUAUCGAACUUAUUACAUUUAUAAUAUAUGAUAAUGUAAAUCUUUUGUAUUGGUGAAACAAAUUUACUGAAAGUUAAACUCGCAUUUUUACAUCACAUUUUACACGACAUUAUUUUGAGCAAAUUUUCAUAAAUUUUUCCGUAUUUCUUUUGUAUUUAAACUUCAUUAUUCUGUGUGAUAAAUAUGAGUGUAUGAACCACACAUGAGGGAUGCACAUGAGGGAUAAAUCGACUAGUAGAGUUGCUGCAAAAUUUACAUAGGAGUUUGAUCAAGUUGUUAUGUGAAAUAUAUUAAGGUAAAAGUACCUAUUCCCACACAACACACACACACACACAGACAUGUACCUAAUCCUGGACAUUUUCUUUUUGUUUUAUAAAUAUAAAUAUUUAAACUUUUAACAUAAAAAAUAUACGUACAGGUAUUGAGUAUAUUCAUAUUUUCUACGUUGAAAGUUUAAAUAUUGAUAUUUAAACACCAAAUCAAUAAGUUCGUUCCGUUAACGUGGGAAAAUCAAAUUAUGAAAAAUAUAUGACUUCUUAAUACACGAGAUGUAUAAUUUUAAUUAAAUAUAUAAUUUUAAAUUAUGAGAAUAAUAACUUAUAAGGGCGAUUUUUUCCAGGAAAGUGGAAAUUAAUUAGCAAAGUACCAGCGGGAAUUAUUCCAAAAAUGAAUCAAAGCUAAGCUCUAAUUACACGCACAGAUAUGUACUGUGUAGAAAAAAGAAUUCAAGAAUGUCCAGGAAUGUCCGGGAAUUGGUACUUUUACCUUACGGGACAUCAGAUAUCGUUAGAGAUUAUAUAUGCAAUAUUUCCGAGAUCCAUCGCGUUAUAAACAGCGCAACAACACUUUUCGGACGGAAUAUAUUGUCUGAUACUACCACACAACGCUCAGCCAAUUAAAAUACAUUACUGGUAACAAGCCGAAUGAGAUGCAUAAGUUACGCAUGCUCAAUUGAUAAUGACGUUUACGCGCGCGAGCGCGUGUGUAUGUGUGCGCGCGUGCGUGCGAGUGCGACAUCCGCGUAACUAACUGCCGCGUCCGCGGCUCUCUCGUCUAUUUAGCAGUUUCGAGAAAAACGCGCACACGCGAAGCCUCCACGUCUCCACGUGCUUGCUCUCUUGGGCGAAUCUUAUCGCAUUAAUAUUUAUCAAUUUGUCGUUCACUCCGUUAACGCAGAAAGAUCAAACUAUAAGAAAUAUAACAAUUUUUAAUAUACGAAAAAUAAUUUUAAUUGAAUAUAUAAUUUUCAGUCGCAAGAAUAUAAUUUCUAAGGGCUUUCCUAGAAAAGUGGAUCAAUUAGCAAAACACCAGCGGUAAUUAUUCCAAAAAUAGAUCGUAUUUGAGUUCUAAUUACACGCACGAUGAUACUGCAAAGAAAAAGGGACUCAAGAUUUUCAGAGUUAAUAAGCACUCGUCGAAUUGCGCAGGAGCUCCUGAACGACCACAGAUUGACAAAUCAAUUUGAUGAAAGGAAGUCUGGCCGCUGCGUUCCGAAAAAUCAUAUAAUUCACGAGUUUCGUGCGAUACACGCGACACGACCGAACAGCACAACAAAUCCCGAUUCGCCACGCGUCAUCAACCCCUCACGAAACCCUCCGCCGCUCGAGGAGAGCUCGGGGGAA